UACGAAGGGCCCAAGCGUUAAUCGGAAUCACUGGGCUUAAAGGGUGCGUAGGCGGAUCAGCAAGUGCUUUGUGAAAUCCCACAGCUCAACUGUGGAACUGCUUGGCAAACUGUUGAUCUUGAGAAUGGUAGGGGUUGCCAGAACUCUAGGUGGAGCGGUGAAAUGCGUAGAUAUCUAGAGGAAUGCCAAUGGAGAAGUCAGGCAACUGGGCCAUUUCUGACGCUGAGGCACGAAAGCAUGGGUAGCGAACGGG
rnacentral:misc_RNA from 1 species